rnacentral:hammerhead_ribozyme from 1 species
ACCCAGCUGACGAGUUCCAAAUAGGACGAAACGCGCGUUCUGGAU